UACGUAGGUGGCGAGCGUUGUCCGGAUUUACUGGGCGUAAAGGGAGCGUAUGCGGACUUUUAAGUGAGAUGUGAAAUACUCGGGCUCAACUUGAGUGCUGCAUUUCAAACUGGAAGUCUAGAGUGCAGGAGAGGAGAAUGGAAUUCCUAGUGUGGCGGUGAAAUGCGUAGAGAUUAGGAAGAACACCAGUGGCGAAGGCGAUUCUCUGGACUGUAACUGACGCUGAGGCUCGAAAGCGUGGGGAUCAAACAGG
rnacentral:rRNA from 1 species